rnacentral:rRNA from 1 species
UACAGAGGUCUCAAGCGUUGUUCGGAUUCAUUGGGCGUAAAGGGUGCGUAGGUGGCGCGCUAAGUCAGGUGUGAAAUUCGGAGCUUAACUCCGAAACUGCAUUUGAUACUGGCGUGCUUGAGGACUGGAGAGGAGACUGGAAUUCAUGGUGUAGCAGUGAAAGUGCGUAGAGAUCAUGAGGAAGACCAGUGGCGAAGGCGGGUCUCUGGACAGUUC